UUCUAAGGGCGGUGAAGUCAGACCGGAAGGACUGGUGGAGCGCUUAGAAGUGAGAAUGCCGGUAUGAGUAGCGAAAGAAGGGUGAGAAUCCCUUCCACCGAAUAUCUAAGGUUUCCUGAGGAAGGCUCGUCCGCUCAGGGUUAGUCGGGACCUAAGCCGAGGCCGAUAGGCGUAGGCGAUGGACAACAGGUAGAGAUUCCUGUACCAGUGCUAAUUGUUUAACCGAUGGGGUGACACAGAAGGAUAGGGAAUCGCACGAAUGGAAAUGUGCGUCCAAGCAGUGAGUGUGAGAAGUAGGCAAAUCCGCUUCUCGCGAAGCAUGAGCUGUGAUGGGGAAGGAAAUUAAGUACGGAAGUUCCUGAUUUCACGCUGUCAAGAAAAGCCUCUAGGAAGAGUAGUACUGCCCGUACCGCAAACCGACACAGGUAGAUGAGGAGAGAAUCCUAAGGUGAGCGAGAGAACUCUCGUUAAGGAACUCGGCAAAAUGACCCCGUAACUUCGGGAGAAGGGGUGCUCUAUUAGGGUGCAAGCCCGAGAGAGCCGCAGUGAAUAGGCCCAGGCGACUGUUUAGCAAAAACACAGGU
rnacentral:rRNA from 1 species